AUUGAACGCUGGCGGCAUGCCUUACACAUGCAAGUCGAACGGCAGCGCGGACGUCGGUCUGGCGGCGAGUGGCGAACGGGUGAGUAAUGUAUCGGAACGUACCAUUGAGUGGGGGAUAACGUAGCGAAAGUUACGCUAAUACCGCAUAUUCUCUCCGGAGGAAAGCAGGGGACCGCAAGGCCUUGCGCUCUUUGAGCGGCCGAUAUCAGAUUAGCUAGUUGGUGGGGUAAAAGCUCACCAAGGCGACGAUCUGUAGCGGGUCUGAGAUGAUGAUCCGCCACACUGGAACUGAGACACGGUCCAGACUCCUACGGGAGGCAGCAGUGGGGAAUUUUGGACAAUGGGGGCAACCCUGGUCCAGCCAUGCUGCGUGAGUGAAGAAGGCCUUCGGGUUGUAAAGCUCUUUCGGCCGGGAAAAAAUCGCAUGGGCUAAUACCCUGUGUGGAUGAUGGUACCGGAAUAAGAAGCACCGGCUAACUACGUGCCAGCCGCCGCUGUAACAC
rnacentral:rRNA from 1 species